UGGGGAAUAUUGGACAAUGGGCGAAAGCCUGAUCCAGCAAUGCCGCGUGGAUGAAGAAGGUCUUCGGAUUGUAAAGUCCUUUCGGCGGGGACGAUGAUGACGGUACCCGCAGAAGAAGCCCCGGCUAACUUACUGCCAGCAGCCGCGGUAAUACGAAGGAGGCUAGCGUUGCUCGGAAUGACUGGGCGUAAAGGGCGCGUAGGCGGUUUGGUUCGUUAGGCGUGAAAUUCCUGGGCUCAACCUGGGGACUGCGUUUAAUACAGCCAGACUUGAGUGUGGAAGAGGGUCGUGGAAUUCCCAGUGUAGAGGUGAAAUUCGUAGAUAUUGGGAAGAACACCGGUGGCGAAGGCGGCGACCUGGUCCAUUACUGACGCUGAGGCGCGAAAGCGUGGGGAGCAAAC
rnacentral:rRNA from 1 species